GUCGUAACAAGGUUUCCGUAGGUGAACCUGCGGAAGGAUCAUUAAUGAAUGAAAUUGAGUGGGGUUGUAGCUGGCCUUUUACCGGGCAUGUGCACACCUCAUUCAACCACCUUCUAUACCUCUGUGCACUUCUCAUGAGUUGGGCCGCGUCUGAAAUAYGACAAAGUCCGGCUCAUGUGCUUUAUACAAACAAAUUAUGUUAUAGAAUGUCACUACCAUGCUUUAAAGCAUAUAAUACAACUUUCAACAACGGAUCUCUUGGCUCUCGCAUCGAUGAAGAACGCAGCGAAAUGCGAUAAGUAAUGUGAAUUGCAGAAUUCAGUGAAUCAUCGAAUCUUUGAACGCACCUUGCGCUCCUUGGUAUUCCGAGGAGCAUGCUUGUUUGAGUGUCAUGGUCUUCUCAACCCUUCUGUCUUUUUUAUUAAAGGCAGCUGGGCUUGGACUUGGAGGUCUUGCAGGCGUCCGAAUUUYUAAUUCGGAAGUCRGCUCCUCUGAAAUGCAUUAGCUUGAAUAGAACCAAGCAUGAUUCAGCGUGAUAAUUGUCUACGUUGCUUCAUCUCGGUGAAUUUAAUGUUCRAGCUUCUAACCGUCCCUUGGGACAAUCUCUGAACAUCUGACCUCAAAUCAAGUAGGACUA
rnacentral:rRNA from 1 species